CCACUGUGAAAAACAGAAGUGAUCUUGUCACAGGGGGCACAACAGGCUGAGGGUAUGUCAGUGCCCCAGGGUAAAGGGCAAGCCAAGCUCAUUUUAAACUAGAUAACUCACAUUACCUUAGGCGCCUUAGUUGCAAUAGCAUGUUUAGGCUUGGCUGAUUUAUCCCGCUUGGAAGUAAGUGCUAAGACUGCAAUGACUUCUUAUUCUGGCAGGUUGGUCUCUGUAUCCCAGCUAUGACCUGUCCAACACUUAAAUGAAUAUAAACCAGAGGAAGAGAUAAGUUAGGCUAAGGGAAGAAUAUAAACCUUUGGCAACCUGAAAAGAGAUCAGUCACAGGAUGAGUGAAGAUAUUGUAAAGGUACUUUACUCAUGCUAGAAGAUUAUGUGAGGCCAAUGUUUUUCAGGAAUGAAAAAAUUGGCUGAAAUUCUACGAGUUCCUGAUACGUGACUGGAAGAAGCAGUUGAAUCAUUACCUUGUCUUUGAAUGUAGCUGGAAAAUAAGCUGGUGGAGUGAAUCAUCACCAUCCUUGUGAGCAGAGGAGUGAUAAAACUAAGAGUGCAUAAACUAGCAAAAGCAUGAUGGCAGAUUGGAGGCCUGCAACGUCUGAAAUGAUACGCAGUCCAGGGAAAGGCAGAGCAGUCAGUAACAGAGAAAAGGGGCAGACAGGAAAAACUGGGGAAUAUGCACAUCACCCCAGCUGAAACUGGCAAAGGAAAGACAGCACAGAAUGAACAAGCUGGGAGGAAAUAAGGGGGAAGGUGAGAAACAAAGAGAUGGAGGAAGUGAGUAGCUAACCAUUCUAAUCAGAGAAAGGCAGCAAGUUUCCAGCUGGUUCAAAGCAUCUACCUGCCUCUUCAGAUUAUCAGCCUAUGAUGGCUGCUGUCUUGGUCCCAUUUGCUUACAAAUCCUCCCUCCCACUGUUGCUGAUGAUCAAUCUGUGGAGUUCUUUGGUGAAGGAUGUGCCAUCUGGGAAAACUCCUCACUCUGUGAUUGAAAAGAAGACUGCCUGUGACUUGGAUAUGACUGUUCACAGUUUGUACUGAGGGAUGCAUGUACUCUGUGUACCAUACAAUUUAGCUAAUACAAACAAUAAGCAACCAAUUAAGUACGUCAA